UACGAAGGGGGCUAGCGUUGUUCGGAAUUACUGGGCGUAAAGGGUGCGUAGGCGGUCUUGUGCGUCGGUGCUGAAAGCGCCCGGCUUAACCGGGCGAGGCGUGCCGAUACGACGAGACUUGAGGGGCAGUGAGGGUGGCGGAACUCCUGGUGUAGUGGUGAAAUGCGUAGAGAUCAGGAAGAACAGCCCGUGGCGCAAGCGGCCACCCUGGCUGCCAACUGACGCUGGAGGCACGGAGAGCCGUGGGGAGCGAACCGG
rnacentral:rRNA from 1 species